rnacentral:rRNA from 1 species
UGCCAGCCGCCGCGGUAAUACGGAGGGUGCAAGCGUUGUUCGGAAUUACUGGGCGUAAAGCGCACGCAGGCGGUUUGCUCAGUCCUUUGUGAAAGCCCGGGGCUCAACCCCGGAAUUGCAUAGGAUACUGGCAGACUUGAGACUGGUAGAGGCUAGCGGAAUUCCUGGUGUAGCGGUGGAAUGCGUAGAUAUCAGGAAGAACACCUGUGGCGAAGGCGGCUAGCUGGGCCAGUUCUGACGCUCAUGUGCGAAAGCGUGGGGAGCAAACAGGAUUAGAUA